AGAGUUUGAUCAUGGCUCAGAACGAACGCUGGCGGCAGGCCUCAAACAUGCAAGUCUAGGGGGUGCAGCAAUGCAUCACCGGCGGACGGGUGCGUAACGCGUGGGAAUAUACCUAUUGGUUCGGAACAACUGCGGGAAACUGCAGCUAAUACCGAAUGUGCCCGCAAGGGGAAAGAUUUAUCGCCAAUGGAUUAGCCCGCGUAGGAUUAGCUAGUUGGUGGGGUAAUGGCCCACCAAGGCUCCGAUCCUUAGCUGUUCUGAGAGGAAGAUCAGCCACACUGGGACUGAGACACGGCCCAGACUCCUACGGGAGGCAGCAGUUGGGAAUCUUGGACAAUGGGGGAAACCCUGAUCCAGCCAUGCCGCGUGAGUGAUGAAGGCCUUCGGGUUGUAAAACUCUUUCGACGGGGACGAUAAUGACGGUACCCGUAGAAGAAGCUCCGGCUAACUUCGUGCCAGCAGCCGCGGUAAUACGAAGGGGGCUAGCGUUGUUCGGAAUUACUGGGCGUAAAGCGCGCGCAGGCGGCUAUCCAAGUCAGUGGUGAAAGCCCGGAGCUCAACUCCGGAACUGCCAUUGAAACUGUUUAGCUUGAGGACGAGAGAGGUGAGUGGAAUUCCCAGUGUAGAGGUGAAAUUCGUAGAUAUUGGGAAGAACACCGGUGGCGAAGGCGGCUCACUGGCUCGUUUCUGACGCUCAGGCGCGAUAGCGUGGGGAUCAAACAGGAUUAGAUACCCCGGUAGUCC
rnacentral:rRNA from 1 species